GUCUGCAGCUCCGUGGCUUGCUGCUGGCGCUACUGCUCGAGAAGCGGUUGUGUUCAUGUUGGCGGCUCAGUGGGCUGCUGCCGGUGCUGCUGCUCGAGAAGCGGUAGUGUCCGCGUCGGCGGCUCCGCGGGCAGGUGCCGGCGCGACUGCUCGAGCAGCGGUUGUGUCCACGUACGAGAAGUCAUACAUUGACUGGAGUGGGCUUUCGGAACGGUUAGACGUAUACCUAGCAGGUUACGAAAUCAAUGUUCAUUAUACUUGUGUUUAUUUCUGUGUGGGUCUUUCUCUGGAUCUACUUACCGUAAUGGUUGAUGAUGUAGUACAACGUAAUAAGGAAGUCCAUGACAACAUACUAUUGUAAGAACUGUAAGUGUCCCAAUUUCCUGACAUACCAGGGCUGGUGAGGGCUGCCCUGCGAGUGGGGCACGGUCCUAUAUUCGUUGUGGGUUGUGAACCCACUACUAGUCAUGGGUUCGUGAGCUAAGUCAAAACAACGAGUUUAUAACUUAACACAGUACUUAACGUCUCGGAUUGCUUUAUUUUUCCGUUUCCCUAUCUCUCGCCAUGACAUCAACCAGGAUAGGACUUAGAGAGUAGUUCCGUCUCUACUCACCUGCAAGGUUUUCGUGAAGAUGCCAAACAUCAAUCAGGAUGGUGGGGUAGAAGAGUUUAUUCUAACAAAAAGAAAAAUAAACACCGAACACUACGAUUAUGAAAAAGUAAACAACC
rnacentral:rRNA from 1 species